UCUUGUUGGUGAGAAACGGAGCUAAAGACCUCUACUCUCCUUUCGAAGUAGUAGUCGAAUUACUAAGGCAAUUGGUUACGAACAACCAGUCAUAAAUCGAUUUGGAGAUGCCAAUUCACAGUGCUCAUAAAAAUAAAGGCAGUAACCAAGUGUUUGAAGCGCCGUUACUAAAAUAUAUCAAUGAAAGGGAAGCAUAAUCACAGUGUGUAGGAUCAGCAGAAGCUUUGAAAGAAUUGAGACCUCUUCAGGAGACCAAAAAAAGGAUUUUGACGUAUGACAUCAGUACAAGCAAUGGGACUUAAUGAAGAGAAAUUUGAUCUAGAUAUAAGUUUACUUGCAAAUAACAGUAUCAACCCAAAUCUUAUUACUGUUUAUUACCUGACUGUUGGCUGAAGCAGCAUCAUGGCAAUAUGAAAUGUUGAUAGUUUGAUUUCUUGUGAUAAUGGCCCUUAAGCAUAGUUUUUUUUUCUAAGUGUAUUUGAUAUUAUUGCCUACACUUAGGUUAUGAGGGAGCCUUUGUCAUGGAAAUUUAUUUAUUUCUUGUUUCAUAACAUGUAUAAUUAUUUAUUCCUAAUAAAUCUCUGUUCACUAUAGUAUACAGUAUAUAAUGAA